UACGGAGGGGACUAGCGUUGUUCGGAAUUACUGGGCGUAAAGCGCACGUAGGCGGAUUUGUAAGUCAGGGGUGAAAUCCCGGGGCUCAACCCCGGAACUGCCUCCAAAACUGCUGGUCUGGAGGUCGAGAGAGGCGAGUGGAAUUCCGAGUGUAGAGGUGAAAUUCGUAGAUAUUCGGAGGAACACCAGUGGCGAAGGCGGCUCGCUGGCUCGAUACUGACGCUGAGGUGCGAAAGCGUGGGGAGCAAACAGG
rnacentral:rRNA from 1 species